GUGACACAUUCGUUGUUGUAACAUAACAUGUUUUCGUACCAUCAAUUAAAGUUGUACAUCAAUAUGUUUCCUUAAUUAAAUAAUUUUGUGCAUUUACAUACAUACAUAUAUACAUACGAAGGAAAGGAUUAGGUUAAAAAUCCGAUAUGAAAAGGCUUCCCGUUACAAAAUUCAUAACUCAGUAUAACUUGAUACUUCAGCCGGAAACAGGAAAAUAACAAAAAUAAAGAUUUUCAGAAAUUUUCGUACAUCAUGCAAUAUUUACACGUUUUUCUGGUCGGUGCAGCUGUCAUGAUUGCUUCGGUUCUCGGAAACCCGGCCGGAUCUGAGACCGUGUUGGGUCAAUCAGUAAGCAGGGCUUCUCAAGGCGUAGAAUUGCAUGCACGUGACGGAGGGAAGUUGGCCUGGUGUGGUGGUCUCACUGGAGACGGUUGCAAAUCUGACUGCGCUUCUAUGGGGAUGCCAUGCUCGAAAUGCACUUCGGAACAUUGCCGAUGCCAUUACUGUUAACGUCCGUUUAGCACUGGAUAUGCUAUUUUAUUAUAGGCGAUGCUACAUGUGAAGGGUGAACUAGAAAUUAGUACAUAUACUAAAUAAAAAGUAAUAUAUACAAUUGAAGACUGGAAUAAUACACAUUUAUGUAGCGCUUGCCAAUUGUGAAAUAAAUAGUUUUCAACUU